rnacentral:rRNA from 1 species
AACGAACGCUGGCGGCAUGCCUAACACAUGCAAGUCGAACGAGACCUUCGGGUCUAGUGGCGCACGGGUGCGUAACGCGUGGGAACCUGCCUUUAGGUUCGGAAUAACUCAGAGAAAUUUGAGCUAAUACCGGAUGAUGUCUUCGGACCAACGAUUUAUCGCCUUUAGAUGGGCCCGCGUUGGAUUAGCUAGUUGGUGGGGUAAAGGCCUACCAAGGCGACGAUCCAUAGCUGGUCUGAGAGGAUGAUCAGCCACACUGGGACUGAGACACGGCCCAGACUCCUACGGGAGGCAGCAGUGGGGAAUAUUGGACAAUGGGCGAAAGCCUGAUCCAGCAAUGCCGCGUGAGUGAUGAAGGCAUUAGGGUUGUAAAGCUCUUUUACCCGAGAUGAUAAUGACAGUAUCGGGAGAAUAAGCUCCGGCUAACUCCGUG